rnacentral:piRNA from 1 species
CCCGGCCAAUGCAAAGAGAACUUU